GAUGAAGAACGUAUCGAAAUGCGAUAAGUAGUGUGAAUUGCAGAAUUCCGUGAAUCAUCGAAUCUUUGAACGCACAUUGCGCCUCCUGGUAGUCCGGGAGGCAUGCCUGUUCGAGCGUCACCAAAUCCAACUCAAGCGGUUUUGCGCUUGGUCGUGGCGGAAGAGUCGGUCUGGUUGCCGUCUCCCCUCCGAAAAUCAACGGCGGAAAGUCACUGGCAGUCAGCGUAGUAGUAUCGUUCGCCGAACAUCCAGUGGCAUUCCUGCCGACGUACCCCCACAAUUCUCGUGAUUGACCUCGGAUCAGGUAGGGAUACCCGCUGAACUUAAGCAUAUCAAUAAGCGGAGGA
rnacentral:misc_RNA from 1 species